CAAAUGAGCUGUAAUCAAAUGACACUUGUCAAUAGCUGUUAUAUACCUGAUAUACUUUUUUGAACAGAACUUGAAGCAUCUUCCCAGACCUUAUUCCUGCAUGUUUUCUAGGGUAUAUUUGAUUUGUCUGAUAAGGUGGCAGAUGGGAGCUAGUCCUGGACGACAGUGUCCUAAGAAAGAAUGGGUAUAGCAUGGAGUGGCCACUCAUGGGCCAUGUGCCAUAUGGCACCAAGCUGGACCUCAGUAAUUGGCAUGUAGCCUGGUUUCUGCUGCUCUCUCCACCUCUGUCCAGAGGUGAUGCAUUUGUUGACAUCCAGAGGUCUGCUUAUCAGUACUCCUUCUAUAAGGAAGAGGGGAGCCCACUGCAGGCCAUUUUAAACAUGAAAGGUGGUCUGUGACACAAAUUAAUUUCUUGUCUUUCCUACAGUCUGUCUCUGGCUCACUUCCUAAUAGUUUUGGGUUUGUUGUUCACUGGUUAUUUGAGUACCUAAAGAUUGCUCUUCCUGUGUCUCUGUCUGAAUGGAGGUAACCACAACAUUCUCUGCAGUAUUCUAGCCUGGAAGCCAAGCUCUGCCAGAUAGAAAGUAAAUACCUGAUAUUGCUCCAAGAAAUGAAGACACCAGUGUGCUCAGAAGACCAGGGGCCCACCCGGGAGGUCAUAGCCCAGUUGCUGGAGGAUGCUCUGCAGGUUGAGAGCCAAGAGCAGCCAGAGCAAGCAUUUGUUAAACCUCAUCUUGUCAGUGAAUAUGAUAUUUAUGGGUUCAGGACUGUACCUGAGGAUGAUGAGGAAGAGAAGUUGGUUGCCAAGGUCCGCGCAUUGGAUCUGAAGACUCUCUACCUCACAGAAAACCAGGAAGUCUCCACUGGGGUCAAGUGGGAAAACUACUUUGCAAGUACAGUGAACAGGGAGAUGAUGUGCUCUCCAGAGUUAAAAAACCUCAUCCGUGCGGGCAUUCCCCACGAGCACCGUUCCAAGGUGUGGAAGUGGUGUGUGGACCGUCACACCAGGAAGUUCAAGGACAACACUGAGCCUGGCCACUUCCAGACCUUGCUGCAGAAGGCGCUGGAGAAACAGAACCCGGCCUCCAAGCAGAUUGAGCUGGACUUGCUGCGAACUCUGCCCAACAACAAACAUUACUCCUGCCCCACCUCAGAAGGCAUACAAAAGUUACGCAAUGUCCUCCUUGCCUUCUCCUGGCGGAAUCCAGAUAUCGGCUACUGUCAAGGCCUAAACAGGUUGGUGGCAGUGGCCCUCCUGUACCUGGAACAAGAAGAUGCUUUCUGGUGUCUCGUUACCAUAGUGGAAGUUUUCAUGCCUCGAGACUAUUAUACAAAGACUCUUUUAGGAUCCCAGGUGGACCAGCGGGUGUUCAGAGACCUUAUGAGUGAGAAGCUGCCUCGGUUGCAUGGCCACUUUGAACAGUACAAAGUCGACUACACCCUCAUCACUUUCAACUGGUUUCUGGUGGUGUUUGUGGAUAGUGUCGUUAGUGACAUCCUCUUUAAAAUAUGGGACUCUUUCCUUUAUGAAGGACCAAAGGUGAGUUAGCUCAGCUAUUUUCAGAUAUACACACUUGACAACCGUCAGCAGCGUUGGUGGUGGUAGAGCGGCUGGCUCACCUGGAACUUGUGAGGGUUACCACGGUGCCCAAGGGAUCUCAGCACGGCCUGCACUAGAGUUAGGUCCAGGGUAUCAGGAAACCACAGUUAUUUGUUCAUGUAUCAGAAACAUUCAACCCACAUCAAGCCCUGUGAUAGGCACUGGGAGCUGUGGCUUACAGUUUGAGCCUGAGCCUCACCAUCUGUCAUAUGGCUGGUGGUGUUACCCCAUCAUAUGGAGGAGGAGAUGGAGGCCCAGAGAUCUAAUAAGCAGGGGAUUAGGGGGACUAAUGAGGGGGACUAACUUGGGGGAGCCAACUUCAGAGCCUUACUGCCCAUGAGCCUCCCACCCGCUCUGUUGUAUGUUUUGUAAAAAUCAGUUUUUGAAUAAGGAAUAUAUUUACAUAUUAAACCCUAAUGGUAUAAACAGGUGUAUGUAAUGGAGUGGAGGCCCCCCUAGUCUUCUAGUUACUCUUCUCAAUUUAUUCUGUACCUUAGCCGGGCACAGUGUCAUGUGCCAAUUGUCUCAGUUACUUGGGAAGCUGAGGUAGGAGGAUCAUUUGAGCUGAGGAGUUAAAAUAUAGCCUGGCAACACAGCAAGACCCAAAAAACAAACUAAAUUAGAGAAAGUACAGGCCCUUAGAUAUGGGGAAAGCAGUUUGUUCCAAAGCUGCUUCAACUUGCAAGACUACCAGGAGUCCAUUCCCUCUAACCUCUAAUGUACCCCAAACACAAAUUAAAAAAAAGAAAAAAGAAA
rnacentral:sRNA from 1 species